GCAUCGGUGGUGUAUGGAACACACACCUACCUCUUAUCGAAGUGUGAAAUAAACUCGACGGGUGAAACGGGGUUCGAUUCCCCGGCGGUGCA